AAUGAACGUUGGCGGCAUGGAUUAGGCAUGCAAGUCGUACGCUUAGCGUAGCAAUACGCGAGGAGUGGCGAAAGGGAGAGGAAUACGUGGGAACCUACCUCGGGGCCUGGAAUAGCGGCGGGAAACUGCCGGUAAUGCCAGAUAACGUCUCCGGACCAAAGGUGUGAUUCCGCCUGGAGAUGGGCCCACGUCCUAUCAGCUUGUUGGUGUGGUAAUGGCGCACCAAGGCUAAAACGGGUAUGGGGUGUGAGAGCAUGCCCCCACUCACUGGGACUGAGACACUGCCCAGACACCUACGGGUGGCUGCAGUCGAGAAUCUUCGGCAAUGAGCGCAAGCUUGACCGAGCGAUGCCGCGUGCGGGAUGAAGGCCCUCGGGUUGUAAACCGCUGUCGUAGGGGAGUAAUGGCCAGGGGGUUCUCCCUCUGGUUUGAACAAUCCUAGGAGGAAGGACGGGCUAAGUUCGUGCCAGCCGCCGCGGUAACAC
rnacentral:rRNA from 1 species